GCUACACAUGCAAGUCGAGCGCUCACUUCGGGUGAGCGGCGGACGGGUUAGUAACGCGUGGGAAUAUACCCACUUCUAAGGAAUAUCCUCUGGAAACGGAGAGUAAUACCUUAUACGCCCUUCGGGGGAAAGAUUUAUCGGAAUUAGAUUAGCCCGCGUUAGAUUAGAUAGUUGGUGGGGUAAUGGCCUACCAAGUCUACGAUCUAUAGCUGGUUUGAGAGGAUGAUCAGCAACACUGGGACUGAGACACGGCCCAGACUCCUACGGGAGGCAGCA
rnacentral:rRNA from 1 species